UACGAAGGGGGCUAGCGUUGCUCGGAAUCACUGGGCGUAAAGCGCACGUAGGCGGCUUCUUAAGUCAGGGGUGAAACCCUGGAGCUCAACUCCAGAACUGCCUUUGAUACUGAGGAGCUUGAGUCCGGGAGAGGUGAGUGGAACUGCGAGUGUAGAGGUGAAAUUCGUAGAUAUUCGCAAGAACACCAGUGGCGAAGGCGGCUCACUGGCCCGGUACUGACGCUGAGGUGCGAAAGCGUGGGGAGCAAACAGG
rnacentral:rRNA from 1 species